rnacentral:rRNA from 1 species
CGGGUGAGUAACACGUGGAUAACCUACCUAUAAGACUGGGAUAACUUCGGGAAACCGGAGCUAAUACCGGAUAAUAUUUUGAACCGCAUGGUUCAAAAGUGAAAGACGGUCUUGCUGUCACUUAUAGAUGGAUCCGCGCUGCAUUAGCUAGUUGGUAAGGUAACGGCUUACCAAGGCAACGAUGCAUAGCCGACCUGAGAGGGUGAUCGGCCACACUGGAACUGAGACACGGUCCAGACUCCUACGGGAGGCAGCAGUAGGGAAUCUUCCGCAAUGGGCGAAAGCCUGACGGAGCAACGCCGCGUGAGUGAUGAAGGUCUUCGGAUCGUAAAACUCUGUUAUUAGGGAAGAACAUAUGUGUAAGUAACUGUGCACAUCUUGACGGUACCUAAUCAGAAAGCCACGGCUAACUACGUGCCAGCAGCCGCGGUAAUACGUAGGUGGCAAGCGUUAUCCGGAAUUAUUGGGCGUAAAGCGCGCGUAGGCGGUUUUUUAAGUCUGAUGUGAAAGCCCACGGCUCAACCGUGGAGGGUCAUUGGAAACUGGAAAACUUGAGUGCAGAAGAGGAAAGUGGAAUUCCAUGUGUAGCGGUGAAAUGCGCAGAGAUAUGGAGGAACACCAGUGGCGAAGGCGACUUUCUGGUCUGUAACUGACGCUGAUGUGCGAAAGCGUGGGGAUCAAACAGGAUUAGAUACCCUGGUAGUCCACGCCGUAAACGAUGAGUGCUAAGUGUUAGGGGGUUUCCGCCCCUUAGUGCUGCAGCUAACGCAUUAAGCACUCCGCCUGGGGAGUACGACCGCAAGGUGAAACUCAAAGGAAUUGACGGC